GCAUAUCAAAUAAGCGGAGGAAAAGAAACCAACAGGGAUUGCCUUAGUAACGGCGAGUGAACAGGCAAGAGCUCAGAUUUGAAAGCCUUUCGGGGCAUUGUAUUCUGAAGCCUUGAUUCUGAGAACCGGUACCUAAGUCUUCUGGAAAGGAGCGCCAAGGAGGGUGAUAGCCCCGUACGGUACUGACCUCAUUGUAGAAUCUUGGCGUGGAGUCGAGUUGUUUGGGAAUGCAGCUCAAAUGGGUGGUAUGCUCCAUCUAAAGCUAAAUAUCUGCGAGAGACCGAUAGCGAACAAGUACUGUGAAGGAAAGAUGAAAAGAACUUUGAAAAGAGAGUGAAAAAGUACGUGAAAUUGUUGAAAUGGAAGGAUAGGCCGCUAACCACGUAGAGCCGUGUCUGAGGGGAGGAUAAAAGCUGUAGAAUGUGGCUCUUCGGAGUGUUAUAGCUGCAGUGCAUACUCCCACUCGGGCGCGAGGACCUAAGGCUCUGCUAAAUGGUGGUCUAUCACCCGUCUUGAAAACACGGACCAA
rnacentral:rRNA from 1 species